rnacentral:lncRNA from 1 species
UGUAUGCAGAGUGUGUGCUGUGUUGCCUUCAGCGGUGAGGACUUAGAAUAUCUAGUUCUACUGGGAAUAAUAAGCUUCUGAUUUUUGUCUAUCGCAUUAUAAUUUCAGAAGAAUUUGAAUAUGCAACACAUGUUGUGACAGUAAUGUAUAUUUUCCCUAUGAUAAUACAUCUGUGGCCAAUUGCAAGAGAGUUAAAUGUAUCGGCACUGAUAUCCAUAAACUACUACUAUAUGUUUUUAUAUACAUUGGAAUCAGCACUGAAGAAAUUAUAUGACAUUCUAGAAAGAAACAAACGAGAGGCUAUUAGAGAACUAGGCCUCAUUGAACAUGAAGGCCGUGACGUUGUCAUUGCUCUGAAGACAAAGCAGACGAUCCGCAACGUGAUUGCCAAGGCCCUAAAAAACCUCACCUUUCUUUGGUCAAGAGGCAUCAUUGACAAGCAUGAGGGCAUCGAGAUGAACAAGGUAGGAAAGAACCAAACUGACCUACUUUGACUACGGGGAUAUCAUUUGUAGAGAAGGUGAAAUGCCGCAAGGAAUCUUCUUGAUUAUUUCAGGAAUGGCGAGU